rnacentral:pre_miRNA from 1 species
GUAUUGUGAUGAUGAUGAUGAUGAUGGUGGUGGUGGUGGUGAGGUGAUAGAGAAUAUUACUAUCAUCAGCAUGACCGUCAUCAUCAUCAUCAUCAUCAUCA